ensembl:lncRNA
UUGGCAGACGCUUUUAUUCAAAUGACUUUAUUUUCUAUAUGGUUAAAUCUGUGUGCAGUUGUGUUCUUUUGCAUUAUAUGUUAUCAGUUCAUGCAGUGCACUGCUGUUUGAGCAACCCAAUGCAUGCUGGGCAUCAAAAGGAAUAAAAGGACUGUUGUUGCUUUUUUCCACCACUGGCACAGACAAAAAUGCCUAUAUUCUGUCUGAAAUGGAUGCAACCGCAAUGGUGCUUUUUACUAAGCACUGCAGUCAGAGAUGCAUCACUAGCACACCAAUCAAAAUAUCCGUUACCAUCCGCACCCGCUCAAAUGCCAGCCAAUAGGAAGUCUGCACGCCAGGUCCAGGUCCUUGCCGGAGCCGAUCACAGGCUCCAGGAACGCCAACAGCAAGGUAAUUCAUUCUAAUUAGGCCGUUUGCCAUUCCCGAGUCUGUCCUAACUCGGCCAGCUGCUACCUGAGAAUGCUGCUCUUCAAUCAAAACCAGCGGCCGACUCUUGUCUUUCAUCGUUGGGGAAACCAUCAGGGCGACAGGGAAGAGCUCGACUCAUGUUCGGCUACAAAACAGCACGGCGGUCGGCGGAUGUUUAAAAUGGCCAAGCAUUACUCAACCGAAGGAGCUUAACUGUUGUCUUUGGCCGUCUGGCUUGGUUCUUUUUCUAAUAAUGGCUAAAGUUUCAUGCUUUAGAGCUGUAACAACAUGGAACAAGGCAGCACCAAUGAAUAUAUUAAGGUCUUUCGAGCUUCAUCAGACGCGGCGGAGGCAGGAACUAGCUUUCGCUCGCUGUAUCUUUAAAGGACUUGAAGUUUUCUUGGCAGCUCAGGGAAGAACUGCAAGUUCAGCCAAAAUAGACAAUAAAGCAAAGGGGAGGAACAUGCCAAAAUGAAGGGGGCAACUAGUUCCAGGGGUUCAUUUUUCCUUCAUGAUUCACGCUGGAAAAGAAAGCACUUCCCUGUCCUCAUAUGAACUCUCGCCGCGCUCUGCGACUCUCACAAGGAAGCGCUGGGGGAGGGGACGGCCACGCGCAUUUUUGCGCGCUCGCAGAACUGGGUCAACUGCAGACGAGUCAAAAGAAGCGAGAGAGGCCCUGCUUCCCCAGAGAGGCCGGCCUGGACUCGCUCUGCGGGAGGAUAGUCAAGGCUGCCUCGUCCUACACAGUCAGAUGAAACAUGCAGGCUUGCAGAGACUGGGCAAAUGAAACUUCACUAGAUCUGUCCGAAGUCACAGAGGGUUAAGUUGUGUUGGAUGAACAGAAGAAUCCUCUUUUCCGUCCCGAUUGGUCAGAAACAAGUAGUCCAUAUGACUCUCUACAUCUUCUGAAGUCAUAAGAUGCUUUGUGUGAGGAACAGAUCCAAAUACUGACAUUUUCCACUGCAGCUGUCAAAUCACAUUCACACAGAUGUUCAGUUCAAAUAUGACGUGCUAAAUUAUGACAUGGUGAUGGG